UGCCCUUCCCCACGCCCCCGGCAAAGCUGCCUCGUCUUGACACCAGGCCCCGCCCUGAGAGCGGAGCCCCCACGGACGAGAGCCCGCGGCGCCGGUGGUGGCGAUGAUGACGGCUAUGAUGUCUGUGGUUGACAACACGGCUCCGGCAGAGUGAUGUAGCAACGGCGGUCACUUGGGUGGCAUCGCUUGGGUUUUGGCUUCGUUUGCAGUUCCACGGUCGCGCCACGUAGCUGGGGUUUCCAGGUUGUGUGAGUGCUGGUGUGUGAAAUUGUCAGUGUCUGGCCUUUGGGGACAAUUGCCUAAGACCUCCCCCUCGCCGCCUCUGCACCAUGGUACCUGCUCCAACAAGUCUGUGUGUGUGUGUGUGUGUGUGUGUGUGUGUGUGAGAGAGAGAGAGAGAGAGAGAGAGCGCGCGAGCGAGCACGGGAGGCCAGGGCGGAGCGGGCCGUCCCGAGCCUGGUGAACAGACGGCCACUCUAUUAUUUCAGGGCUUCCUGCCUGGCCCGCAGCUGCCCCGGGCGAGCGGUGAGCUGUGCAGGCCCCGCCGUUUCCUCCGUGUCAACCUUGAUCUCAGCCCGCUGGGGCGGAGGCCGUCGGCUGGCCCUGACUAGCGUUGCACGUGGCGGAGAGCCUUUCUGAACGAUUGUUGUAGCCUCGGGCCAGAAACCCUCCUGUGGCUCCAUUACCGUUUCUCAAGACAGUCAUCAGGUUGCAUGCUGUUCUACAAAGUGCCAUCGUGUCUGUGACCUGUAACUGUGAGAGAGCCGCGUCCUUGGGAAGGCAGGAGGCCCUCGUGGUGAGCCUUGGGCGACACUAGGCCAUGGCUCCUUGGGAUGAGCCAGUGCGGAGUAGCACCAAGAUGCCUUGUCCUCUGUUCGAGUUUACUGCGGGAAGGAGACAUCCCUUGUCUGUCUGUCUCUCUCUCUCUCUCUCUCUCUCUCACGCAGACACACACACACACACACACACACACACACACACACACAUGCCGUCCAACCGCUCAGAUACUAAUUAGCAUCACUUUUCCUCUGGGAAAGAAUGGUGGGCUAAAGUAGCCCAUGUCUUGUUGAACUUACAAAAUUACUUAAAACUCUUGGAGAGGGUAUUGGACUUAUUAAGAAGGGCCUCCUGGGCGUAUGAAAGAAACCAUUUUUAAGGCAGCUUCAUAAAUUAUCAGAGUGUUGCUUAUUUUAACUAGGUCUUUCAAAAUGUGUUGGAGGGAAAAAGCAACAAAAAGCAAAACUACAUGGAUGUGUUUUGUCCUGAGGCAGACUUUAAGUCCUGGGAACUUAUCUUGGGCUGCAGAAAGCUUCGUGCCGUGGGAAGAUGUUGGCUUGGUCCAAGGUUAAAUAUUAAGUCGGGAACGUCCUGGUGUCUUGCUAGCCAUUAGCAGCUGGCUGCUUCUGUUGAAUUGUGCUCCGUGUAUAUUAAGAUGUAAAAUUCAAAGCUCACGGCCCGUAAGGUCCCUCAGGCUAACGCCGUCUCCACUGCCCCGGUCUGGCCUCUUGACAGUGUGGGCAGCACCGGUUCUGCUGUGUGGGCCGGUGGUCAGUGGUGCUAGAACAGCCAGUGUGGUGGCCAAGGGCAGACCCCGUCCGUACCAGCUCGCUAUUGCCACCAAAAUGGGCAAAGGCCCCGAACAGACAGCCCUCAGAAGAAAAAGAGAUGCCCGACAAAUACGGGAGAAAACGCUCAGGGUCGCUAGCCAUCAGGAAAACGCAACCCACAUCACAACGCGAGCCCCUCUCCCCUGCUGGGACGCUAUCAGAGAGGCAAAGAACAGGUGCUAGUGAGGAAGCGGAGCGAAGGGAACUCUGAUUCUAAGACUGAUUGAUUGAUUUGGAAGUCAGGGUUACAGAGCGAGAAAGAGGCCUUCCAUCCGCUGGUUCACUCCCCAGCCGGCCACAAUGGCCGGGGCUGGGCCGGGCUAAAGUCAGGAGCCAAGAGCUUCUUCCAGGUCUCCCACUUGGGUGGCAGGGGCUCCCGCACCUGGGCCAUCUUCUGUUGCUUUUCCCAGGCCAUUAGCAGGGAGCUUGAUUGGAGGUGGAGCAGCUGGGACAUGUGUCACAGGUGAUGGCUCUACCCACUAUGCCAUAACACUGGCCCCAAAGAGAGCUCUUAGACACUGUUGGUGGGAUGUGAAUUGGUAUAGCCACUAGGGAAAACGGUAUGGAGAUAUUGAAAAACUGGAAAUAGAGCUGCCGUGUGAUCCGGAAACCCUACUACUGGGUGUACAUCCAAAAGAUAUUAGAUCUCUGUUUCAAAGACAUAGCUAUUUUCCCACGUUGAAUACAGCACUGUUCUUUUCUUUCUUUCUUUUCUUUUCUUUUUUUUUUACAGGCAGAGUGGACAGUGAGAGAGAGAGAGAGACAGAGAGAAAGGUCUUCCUUUGCUGUUGGUUCACCCUCCAAUGGCCACCGCGGCCGGCGCACCGCGCUGAUCUGAUGGCAGGAGCCAGGUGCUUCUCCUGGUCUCCCAUGGGGUGCAGGGCCCAAGCACUUGGGCCAUCCUCCACUGCACUCCCUGGCCACAGCAGAGAGCUGGCCUGGAAGAGGGGUAACCAGGACAGAGUCGGGCUCCCCGACCGGGACUAGAACCCAGUGUGCCGGCGCCGCAAGGCGGAGGAUUAGCCUAGUGAGCCGCGGCGCCGGCCAGCACUGUUCUUAAAAGCCAAGACAGAGACUCGACCCGGGGGUCCAUCAUCAGGUGACUAAGGGAAACAUGACACACAGUACUGUUCAGUCAUAAAGGAAUAAAACCCUGUCACUCGCAGGAGAGUGGGUGGAACAGGAAGCCAUCAUGUUUCCAUGUUUAGUGAAAUAAGCCAUACACAGAAAGACAGAUGCCACAUGGUCUGUCUCACAAGUGGAGGCUAAAAACCCCCGAAACUCUGAACCCAGAAUGGUGAUCCUAGAGGCUGGGAGUGCUAGGGGUUCAGGGAGUUUAGGUAGUAGACAGCAACUCAGAGUUAGACCUGACUAGGCUUUGUAGUCCUGCCUUCCUGGAGCUCACACACGAGACUGGAGCCUAGGGGCGGAGGCGUCUGACCCUCAGAGGUGGUGUCCUUGGCUCAAAGCUCAGGGCCCCUCCUUAGGGUUAGUCGUUUCCCAAGAGGACCCCUCGUGUCUCAGCAGCCUUUUGGUUGGAGGUUUGAAAGAACCUUCAUUGUAACCUGGGGCCCGUAGCUGUCCCCCGGGAGCCAUCGGGGGCCGUGCAGCUGACCGCUGGUGAGAGGAGGUGGCGGCGAAACCCCGACUGUAGUCGUGCUGGGUUUCUCUAGACCUUUGCCGGGUCCCUCCGCAGAGCCAGGUGCAGGGUGCGGAAGGGGGCGUGGCCUGUCGCCUGAGCGUGGAGUCCCGGCUCUGCGUCUGGCUGCCUGAGGCUCAGGGACUUGGACAGAGGGGAGCUGCUUGGUCGCCACUGAACUCUGGAUUAUUCGUGCCUGCUUGGGUGGUACGUUCCUCCGUAGUUGGGCCCAGGCAAGUCCUGGUGGGCACUGGGCUACAGAGUGAGCCAGAGGAGGCCCUGCGCCCCUGGGGUGCGGUUUGUGGGGGAGCAGCUGAGAGGUGGUGGUGCCACCUGGUAAGGCUGCAAGAGAGGCGCGUGGGCUGCGGCAGGCUGUGCAGGGCAGCUUCCAGGGCGGGAGGACUCGGGCACUGUGCGUGGAGGGGGAGCAGAGCAGGCGUGGGGGGGGGGCUCCAUGAAGAACCGAGGCGUCUGAGUGAAGGGGGCGUCAGGAGAUAGAGGGAGGCACUGGAGCGUGGCACACACCCGGGAGUCGGGACCUCGUCUUGCAGCCAGUGGCCCCCAGCAGAGGUGCCCUCGACCUGCUCCGUGCAGCUGGGCGUGCUCAAGGAGCGCUUGGAGACGGUGUGGGCCGUGACCUCUGCCGCACCGACCCAGCAGGUCCUGGCUAGAACCUGAGCCUGUCUCCCCCGCUCAGUUCCCCUGCCCUGGCCAUGGCCGCUGUCUCAGGGCAGGAGCAGCCUUGGCGGGGUUGGGCCCAAGAGUGACACCAGAGACGCCGUGGCAGCCUCCUGCAGGGGCCGCCCAGAGGACUUCACAAGGGCCGUGUGAACGCCAUGCUUCCUGUUCCCUCUGGAGCCCAGCUCUCACGUUAUCUCCGGCUGCAGCUGAGGGAAAGCCUGCGGAAACAGUGGGCACGAAGGUGACCGGGGGCAGCCGAACACCCGGCAGACCGGGGAGCUUCCGUCUCAUCAAGACAGAGGGACGGCCAUCUGGGAGUCACUGGGUCACUCACAGGGACCAGGGGUCAAGCCAGGAAGUGCUAUUUGUGGCCAGGACUCAAGGAUGUUUUUAUUUUUUCUCUCCAGAGAGUGUGAAUUCUGGAAGACCUGCUGUCUCUUAGAGCAGUCAGCUCUUCCUUAGAAACCAUGAUCUCUAGUGGGCUGCAGCCUCGUUCAGAAGCACACCAUUUCCAGAGGUCCAGGAGCUGGAUGACGCUCUCUGCACUCUGUUAAACAGGGCUGAAAAGUCCAUUUGUAGAAGAACGCAGCUCUGUUCUGUCUGUCUGCAUACUCAGAGUACCUAAGAAAACACCACACGUGGUUAAGAUAAGGAAAAAGAGCAUAGAGCAUCUGGUAGUCACGUGUGAUUGUUCUCUGGUUGUAGUCGUGGUAAAGCUGUUCUCACCGGGGUGGGGAGUGAGUAGAAUGCGUUUUCUACAGCCAGGCGUCUGGGCAGCGGGGAGCUCCAUGCACGGAGGACUCCCUUGCAGAGGUGGUCAUCACGCCUGGAGGGCUGUCGAGUUUGGAACAAAUUGUCCCCCUGCUCAGAAGCGUCCGAGUGGUCAGAGUCGGCAAGUGCGCAGCACAGGUAGAAGGGAAGGUUGUCUUGUCUAGGAGGGGAAGGGCCCAUGGGUGCUGCGCACCUGCCAUGCGCUGGGUACCCUGAGCGCGUGGUGUGCACAGUGGCCAGCAGCGUCUUAGCUGCUCCACCUGGGGCCAGCUGCACAACACCUCUGUGCUGUGUUCGCUUCUUUGAAAAUGAGGAGAAAUUGUUACAGACCCUCGUAAGGAGAUGUUAAAUGUUUGAUGAGUUAAUUCAUGGCUAAGUGCUUCUAGGAGUGCUUGGCGUAUACUAAGCUCCACUGUUCCUUGAGUCCUCUCAGCCGUGCCGAGCGGUCACUGUUACCUGCUCUUGUAGUGAGGAAGGUAGGGAGUGUAGGGCGGCUGGGCUGUCUGCUCAGGCACUCCUGCUGUGGGGCAGCGUGAAAGCUGGGAAUGGCUGGUUCUCCAUCCUGCUCUCUGCCCAAACUUUGGCAUCGGAUGCUCCCGGGUCAGAUGUCAGCUGGCUCUGGACCAGCAGUGCCAAGUCAGGGGACCUUCAGGACAAAACCAGCGGUGUGAAAGCCCCAGUUCUGAACCCGACUCGGGCUUUUAUACCCAACUGUCUUGACAACUAACCUGCCAAGGGCCUCCCACUGGACCCUCCUCCUAAACACUGUAAUUGGGUUAAGUAUCUCUUACUACCUUCACCUAUGGCCUUCGGUUUAAGUGUCUGCAAGAGUUCAGGUCAAACUCCCAGCCUCCCCAGGUGCUGCCUGAGCUGCAGGCCUGUUCACUGCUUCUCCCUCCACAGACGCAGGCUCCUGUUCUGCUGAGCGAGCGGCAGUCCCCACACUGAGUCAGCACAUCUUUAACGAGUGUAGGUGGGGUUUUCUCCCCCGGGAGAGCCCCCCAUUUGACUGAGUGUGGCUGGCCUAUCAGCAGGUUACUCAAAGUAAAAUCACUAUUACUGUUGUUUUAUGAGAGGCGGCGAGUGGGAGCCAGGCGGGAACCUGGGAAGCUUUUGCCAGAACAUGAACCAUGCGAUUUACUAUUUUUUUUCUUUUUUACUGUCUGCGUCAGCUCUUAAAAAUAUGCAAAAGGGCUGGCGCUGCGGCUCACUAGGCUAAUCCUCCGCCUGCGGCACACCCGGUUCUAGUCCCGGUCGGGGCACCGGAUUCUGUCCCGGUUGCCCCCCUUCCAGGCCAGCUCUCUGCUGUGGCCCGGGAGGGCAGUGGAGGAUGGCCCAAGUGCUUGGGCCCUGCACCCCAUGGGAGACCAGGAAAAGCACCUGGCUCCUGGCUUCAGAUCAGCGCAGUGUGCCGGCUGUAGCAGCCAUUUGGUGGGUGAACCAACGGAAGGAAGACCUUUCUCUCUCUGUCUCUCUCUCUCACUGUCCACUCUGCCUGUCAAAAAAAUAUGCAAAAGAAGUUUGCUGGUUGGGAGCAGCUGGCCUUUGUGGCCACUGUUUCUGGAAUCUCUGGGCCCAGGACUGGUUUUCUCAGUGGCUCAUUUUUCAGAGAAAGGCAAGAUGCUCCAUGGCUGGAACUUUGUGGAGUGAGCUCCUCUCUCAGAACAAGUGUUUGCCACUGCUCUGACGUGGGUUCUCUAAGGGGAGGUGCCGGGGGCCUUUGCCCGCAUUUCAGGAGUGAAGGAGGAUGGGUCUUCUGCAGGCGUCACCUAACAGAGGAAGAGACAGAGAGAGAGGAGGUCUUCCCUCUGCUGGUUCACUCCCCAGGUGGCUGCAGCAGCCGAAACUGGGCCAUGCUGCAGCCAGGAGCCAGGAGCUUCUUCCGGGUCUCCUACGUGGGUGCAGGGGCCCAAGCACUCGGGCCUUCUUCUGCCACUUUCCCAGGUGCAUUAGCAGGGAGCUGGGUUGGAAGUGGAGCAGCCGGGGCUCAAACCAGCACCAUAUGGGUUGCCUGUAGCACUGCUUUAGUCAGCUGGGUGCGCCGGCCCCUUUCGGGUGUCUGUACGGUGGAGGCCCCACAGCCGGGUCCCCGCCUCACCACAGCAGGGGACGUCUGGUGAUCUUCUUCCGGGUGUGGAAGAUGGGGCUGGCGUCCUGAGCUGGCGGGGGGGAAGUCCUUGUGUAUGGCCCUGCUCGGCCCCCUCCCGCUCUGUCAGAUGUGCAGGGGACUGAGGUCCCCUUGGUGCCGAGGGCUGAGCCAGCCAUGUGCCCGCCCCGCAGCCUGCCCGUCCCCGUCACUCAGCUACCAUGGCGCCGGGGUGUCAGCCCGGGGCCCAGACCCCUGGGGACAGGAGAACAGCCACAUCUUUACUCUCACCGACUUCAACUGAAACGGAGCAUUUUGUCCAGCUAUGGGUGUAGGCAACAGAGCAGCCGCGGUAGCGGUACCUGUGCUGUCACAAAUGGAAACCACUGGCACUCCCGAGUCACGUUAGAAUAAUUGCAGAUAUUUCACACUGUCAUCUACAGAGUCACGGCUGUAAUUAGAUUCCCCACCAGAUCUCACUCUUUGAUAGGUUAUUAAAAAUGACAGGUUGCCACACCACACAUCUGUCUGAUGUAAUGAUCACUGUGCUUUUGUAUCAUUAAUUUCUUUGUCAUCCCGGUGUUCAUUUUCUGCAUUGUUUGGAGAAAGGGUUUAUUUGUUUCCCUGUGCUGUCAAGGGUGUCUGGUGGCAGAGAAACUGGUUAAGGGGCCGGCAUUACGGCACAGCGGGUUAGACCCCCCAACCCUGUGGCACCAGCGUCCCAUAUUGGAGUGCCGUGCGAGUGCACUUCCAAUCCAGCUUCCUGCCAAUGCACUAGGGAAGCAGCAGAGGGUGGACUUGGGCCCCUGCUACUGCGCGGGAGACCCGGAUAGAGUUCCGGGCGCCUGUCUUUGGCCUGGCCCAUCCCCCACAUUGUAGCCAGUUGGGGAGCGAAACAGUGGGUGGAAGGUUUCUCUCUCCCUUUCUCUGUCUGUCUGUCUGUCUCUCUCUCUCGCUCUGCCUUUCAAAUAAAUAAGUAAGUCUUAAAAAAAAAAAAAAAACAAAAAACAAAACAGGUUAAAACCCUGCGUUCUAACAGUGUUCCUGGAUAUGUGAGAGAAUGUGCCUGCUGGGCUGAUGCCCAGAACUGGGCUCCCCUGUAGGCUGCUGUCCUUGUCCUGGCCAGAACCAUCUGGCCCUGGAAGCCCUGGAGGCCAUGUUUCCCUGUCUGGGUGCCUCCUGAUGUCUGGGGUAGUGCCAAUCGGGAAGCACACGUUCUCGCCGCCUCUGUGAGACCCACUUCACAGCUCUGAGAGCUCGGGAACCCAGAGCUGCGCCCAGAGCAGGGCCAGCCGGCGUGGGGGUGGCCGUGGGCGAGUCGGACUGGCCUUGAGAGGGUUUCAGGGGCUGUAUCUGGCCAGAGGUGCAGAACCCAGGAGGCACCAGUUGCCAGUCUCCCUGCCCUGCCCAGUCCCGAAGGUACAGCCUCAGUGUGUUUUCCUGACCGUCCACACCCUGUGCUUUGUUCCUGGGCGAGCCAGAAGCAGGGAAACCUCACAGCCAUGGCAGCCUGACCUAUCACGGGCCCACCCUGGCGCUCGUGGUGGCUGCCAGCUCCUGGGGCGCAGGUCGGCGUCCUGCUGCUGGUGGCAAAGAGCCUAGGUGGGGCCGUGGGAGCAGUACUCGGGGUGGCUGCCCCCUCCCGGGGCGCGCAGGUCGGCGUCCUGCUGCCGGUGGCAAAGAGCCUAGGUAUGGCCGUGGGAGCAGCGCUUGGGGUGGCUGCCCCCUCCCGGCACGCGCAGGUCGGCGUCCUGCUGCCGAUGGCAAGUAGCCUAGGUACGGCCGUGGGAGCAGCGCUCGGGGUGGCUGCCCCCUCCCGGCGUGCGCAGGUCAGCGUCCUGCUGCUGGUGGCAUGGAGCCCAGGUGGGGCAGCGGGAGCGGUGCCCAGCGGCCGGGUCACUCCUGUCAAAUGACACCAGGCCUGCCAUGGCCCACGGGUCGUGGGAUUUCCUCUGCCUCCCAAAGCGUUCUUUGUCCUUAAUCCCGGCAUUACUGCGGAUGAGCCUGAUUUCUUCCAGAUGUCCUGAACACUGAGGACUCUGGAGGCAGGGCUGAUGGGAUGUGCAUUCCUCCCUGGGCUGGGGACCAGCGCUCCUUCUCACAGCCACACGCAGGGGCCGGCGGCACCCUCUGGCUUGCCGCGUUGGCCCCCAGCGAUUCUGACCCCGAGGAGCUGUUGAGUGACCCGGAGCUGGGGCCGGGCCGGGUCCGCAGGGGUGAGGCAGCACAUGGUCGCCUCAGUUCUCUGAAUACCGCAGGGAGCCCCCUGUUCGGUUCAGAGCGCCUCAGCCAGCGCCGCUCCUGCAGCACCGACACGAGUGGAGGGAGAGGAUUUCUGGCGUCACAGGAGUGGGUUUUCAAGCCAGAAGCUCAGCCGCAGGACCCGCUUCCCUGCCGCCCGUGGGCUGGCGCUGAGGACCCCUGCAGAGGCCCUGGGACCCCUCGCUGUAGGAACCGCGUGGGUCUGCGUGCAGGCUGAGGGAGGCUGUAGCGUGCUGACACAGGAGGUCUGCAGCAGGCUGAGGGAGGCUGUAGCGUGGUGACACGGGAGGUCUGCGUGCAGGCUGAGGGAGGCUGUAGCGUGGUGACACGGGAGGUCUGCAGCAGGCUGAGGGAGGCUGUAGCGUGGUGACACGGGAGGUCUGCGUGCAGGCUGAGGGAGGCUGUAGCGUGGUGACACGGGAGGUCUGCGUGCAGGCUGAGGGAGGCUGUAGCGUGGUGACACGGGAGGUCUGCGUGCAGGCUGAGGGAGGCUGUAGCGUGGUGACACGGGAGGUCUGUGUGCAGGCUGAGGGAGGCUGUAGCGUGGUGACACGGGAGGUCUGCAGCAGGCUGAGGGAGGCUGUAGCGUGGUGACACGGGAGGUCUGCAGCAGGCUGAGGGAGGCUGUAGCGUGGUGACACGGGAGGUCUGCGUGCAGGCUGAGGGAGGCUGUAGCGUGGUGACACGGGAGGUCUGUGUGCAGGCUGAGGGAGGCUGUAGCGUGGUGACACGGGAGGUCUGCGUGCAGGCUGAGGGAGGCUGUAGCGUGGUGACACGGGAGGUCUGUGUGCAGGCUGAGGGAGGCUGUAGUGUGGUGACACGGGAGGUCUGUGUGCAGGCUGAGGGAGGCUGUAGUGUGGUGACACGGGAGGCCUGCAGCAGGCUGAGGGAGGCUGUAGCGUGGUGACACGGGAGGUCUGUGUGCAGGCUGAGGGAGGCUGUAGCGUGGUGACACGGGAGGUCUGUGUGCAGGCUGAGGGAGGCUGUAGCGUGGUGACACGGGAGGCACAUCUUGAACUCUGGCACAGUGACUCCCUGCUGGAGAGGGCAGACCUGCAGCUGCUUGUGUUGAGCGCCCUGUGUUUACUGGCGGCCUGAUUGGUUUUGUUGCAUUUGAGGAUGUAAGCGAUAUACAUGGUUCUUUUUAAAGAUUUACUUAUUUUAUUUACUUGAAAGAGUUCCAGAGAGGGAGAUACACACACAGAGAGAGAGAGAGAGAGAGAGAGAGAGAGAGAGAUGUUCCAUCCACUGGUUCACUUCCCCACAUGGCCUCCAUGGCCAGGGAUGGCCUCCAUGGCCAGGGAUGGCCAGGCUGAAGCUGGGAGCCAGGAGCUCCUUCUGGGUCUCCCACGUAGGUGCAGGGGCCCAAGGACUUGGACCACCCUCUGCUGCUGUCCCUGCUGCGUUAGCAGGGAGCUGGGUCAGAACUGGUGCAGCUGGGACUUGAACCAGUGCCCAUGUGGGACCUGGUGCUUUAACCCACUGCGCCACAAAGCUAGCCCCAAGCAACAUAAACAUUACAGCUGCAUUAGUGCCCCUUAUUCCUGGGCACUCGGUGCCCAGUGGGUGCCUGAAGCAGGGUGGAGCUAAACUCUUGUGGCCGGCAGUGUGGCUCAGUGAGUCACCCCAGCGCUAGUUCAACGCUGCCCCUCUUCUGAUGCAGCUCCCCGCUAGUGCACCUGGGAAGGGAGUGGAAGAUGGGCCAAGCAGCUGGGCCCUGCCACCCAAGUGGGAGACUCAGACGGAGUUCCUAGCUCCAGGCUUUGGGCUGCGUCAGCCUUUGCCGUUGUGGCCAUUUGGGGAGUGAACCAGUGGGUGGGAGACCUCUCUCCGUCUCUCUCUAUUGUUCUAUAUUUCAAAUAGAUAAAUCAAAACAAGAACCAAAUCCUACAUGUGUACGUUUCUUCCUCUACCUUGCGUGCCUAUGAUCAAAUUUAACCUGAACUGGGCUCAGGAAGAGGUGAACAGUAAUGACGAGCAGCAGAGUGAGACAGUCAUAGGAAUGUCCUGGAAUAGAAUCGCCGGUGCUGCUCUCUUUGGCUUUGGGGCCAGGACUCAGGAAAACCAGGGUUACUUGAAGGCAAGCGCUGCGAGGCAGCUAAGGGACUGACGGGGGCAGGGCCCACGGUGUUGUACACUGGACGGAGACUGGACCAGGGUGGCACGCGAGAUUCCGUUGUGCUGUGCAGACGGCGUCCCACUUCAAACUCGUUUAUUUCUGGGGUUGCCCCUUUAAUACUUGGGUCCCUGAAACUGUGAGAAGAGAGACCCUAUUAAAGUUAGGGAAUGAAAACGAAGAGCAGAAAUGAAUGAAUGGAGACCGUUACUCUUUAUGUCUUCUUCAAAUGAGUUUGAAUGCAGAAAGAUGCCCACACAGGUGCUGGGGUGGGGUGGGCCUGGUCCCAGCUCGGGGAGGACAUCAGCUGGAGCUGCUGCAGGUCCCGAGUACCCAGGAGAGAACGGAGGGGCCGGGGCAGGGCAGCGCGGCCUGUCUGAGAAGCAGGCUGGUCAGGUGUGGCGCUGAGCUUCAAACACAGAGAAGGAGAGCAUCUUGAGCUGGCCGGGCUAGGGGUCAGCAGAAGGCUGGAGCGGGCGGCCCAGGGCGGAGGCUGUGUUGUGUGAGGGGAGCUCGGAGGGGCAGCCCUGGUUCCCCGCGUCUGCGGGCAUGCCCGCCCCGCCACCAUCACGUGCAUCCCACAAGGCCGCUGACCAGGGGACGAGUGCGUGUCAGGUUGUGGUGGGACGCUGAGUGUCUGGGAGGGAACGCACGCGUGCUGUGUGCCUGUUCUUUCCUGACAUCUCACAGCAUGCACCAGGACGUUCACAAGCCACCGACUGUUGGAAGCUCGGUGUUGUCAGUCUGAUGUUUAACUGCCCAGUCUUACUGCAGUGUCUUUUCCCUAGACCACCGCCUCACAUGCAGUUUCGAUAGCACGGUUAAGUACAUCCAUCGAAGGUCUGUCACAGACCAGCCGUAUCAUACUGUCAAAAGUCAAACACAUAGAAUCCCUUGAGUAUCUAGAUUCCCAACUGCUAAAAAUGCAAUGCGAGCCGUGUGUGCAAUUUUGAAGUUUGUAGUAGCCACAUUGAAAAGUAAAGUGAAACUGUUGAAAUAGGCUGUACUUAAUCCUGUACACCCAAAAUAUGAUUGUGAGCGACAGUAAAGCAAUCACUGCUCAUGUUGUGUGUGUGUGUGUGUGUGUGUGUGUGAAAUCGAGAUCAGCCACAAAGUGCUGAGCGUAGGCCUAGAACUUGGACUUUGGAGCCAGCUCACGCGCUGGGUGGGCACAGGAGCUGGGGUCUUUCUGCACCCGUUCCUGUCCGUCUUGGUUGAGGAAUGCUGCCAGGUGUGAGGGGUUUGUUCCCGUGUUUUUUGUUUUUUUUUGCAGUAGUAGCCGUCCUCGUGGUAAUGAACUGGGGAAUGAUCGUUCUCAGAAAGUUGUGAGCGAGGGCCAGUGUUGGCGCAGUGAGCUAGGCUGCCGUCUGAUGCUGCGUCCCAUACUGGAGCACUGGUUUGAACCUGCCCGCUCCACUUCCAGUCCCGCUUCCUGCUCGUGCUCCUGGGAAGGCAGCAGAAGGUGCCCAAGUCCUUGGGUCCCUGCCACCCAUGUGGGGGAGCCAGGUGAAGCUGCUGGCUCCUGGCUUCAGCCUGGCCCAGGUCUGGCUGUGUGACCACUUGGGGAACGAACCAGUGGAUGCAAGAUCCCUCUCUGCUGUCCAAAUAAAUAAGUAAAUCUUUGUCAAGUUGUGAAUGUUUGGAUACAUGACUGGAAUGAGGCAGGGAGGGAGGAGAAGGAGGGGGAAGGCAGGACUUGGCACCCUGUGCAGUUAUCCUAGUUGUGAUUACAGGUACUAUGGUCGAGAGGUGACAGGACGAUGGGGUAGAAGUUCUGUGCAGACACAGUUACUAGGGUGCACGUCACUCACUCUGGUGUCAGCUUCCUUUAUUCAGGCUAGAUUCGUGCCAGGAGCAAAAAGAAAAUAAAUUUUAUUUUUAAAUUUAAGUAAGAUCCCAGUUUUUGAAGAUGGAAGGGGAAUCUAACUGAGCCAAGGGAGAAGCUGCCAGCCCCCGCGCAGCUCCCUGGAGAAUCUUCACAAGGAAUCAGCUGGCGGAAGGGGAAACGUGGCCGUGGUGGCCUCUGGGAGCAGCUUGUGCGACUGACAGGAGGUGCACUGCGUGUCCCCAACAAGCGGUUUGGGUGGUGGUGUUUGCGAGGAAUGGGGUCAGAGGACAAGCUCUCCUGAGAUGCUUAGGGUGCAGCUGGUGGCUCCUGACGUUUGAAGUGGUGAAGGAUUUGGUACUCAGCUGAAGUGUAGACACAGUGACACCUCGAAAAACAGCUGUCACAGGAGACGUUAAGACAGAAGCUUUGCCGGCGCCGUGGCUCACUAGGCUAAUCCUCCACCUAGCAGCGCCGGCACACCGGGUUCUAGUCCCGGUCAGGGCACCAGAUUCUGUCCCGGUUGCCCCUCUUCCAGGCCAGCUCUCUGCUGUGGCCCGGGAGGGCAGUGGAGGAUGGCCCAAGUGCUUGGGCCCUGCACCCCAUGGGAGACCAGGAAAAGCACCUGGCUCCUGCCAUCGGAUCAGCGCGGUGCGCCGGCCGCAGCGCUCCGGCCGCGGCGGCCAUUGGAGAGUGAACCAACGGCAAAGGAAGACCUUUCUCUCUGUCUCUCUCUCUCUCUCACUGUCCACUCUGCCUGUCAAAAAAAAAAAAAAAAAAAAAAAAAAAAAAGACAGAAGCUUUAAUCUCCGAUGAGCACUGUGUUUCCAGCAGGCCAUCUGAGGGCUACGAGAUCAGCUCUGUGGAAACAGAAUCGUAACAGCUGCGUCUUACUCUUACCACAAGGACCCCUGUGCGAGGUGACGAGCCCCCCUCGAGAGGCCGCACACGCAGGUCAGGGUUCGUGGGGGCAUCUCUCAGGGAGAGCCCUCCUCGGAAGCUGAAGACUGUUCUCCCAUAACCAGGUGAGCACCCGUGGGACGUGUGGCCCGAGACUCCCAGGCCCGGCCGUUUUCAUCUUUCCGCAGCCCCGUCAGGUCCUCCUCUUUCCUGACGUCAUUCAGACUCUGGCCGGAGCCUUCCUGGCUGAGACCGGUUUGUAUAACAGCCGUGGCUCAGGCCCCUUCACGCCAGAGGAAGCGGGUGCUGGCCCCAGCUCAGCCCCUGCGUGGGCACGUGGGCGGGCAGGUCCUCUCUCCAGGGCCAGCUCCUCCGCUGUAGGAAGUGCAGGGUCAGCUCGUGGCCUGGGCGGGGCUGUCACUGUGCUCAGUCAUUGGUUCAUUCACUGAACACCUGCUGUGAGAGCCCAGCCGCUGAGUGCUGCUGACAGUCUGAGAUGGUCAGGCCAGAGUCUCUGUGCCCAGGAAGUCCGCAGGUGCCUCCUCGGGUGUUGAAGAACCGUCUUUCUGCUUGUCAAGGCAUUGCGUCCCUGAGAGGUGUGUGCCGGGCACAGCUCUGCCUCGGGAGUUCAGUGAUGAGUACGACCAGGCCAGAGUUCCUGCCUGCUGGUGUUGGGGUUCCAGUGGAGAGGGAGCGCCUAGGCGAGUAGCCACGCGAAUAAAUGGACGACCCCAGCCACCAUGAUGGAGCGCAGGGGCUGGGGGCUCCUGGCGGGAGGAUUUGUCUUACGGAGGGCGGACAUGGCGCCGUGGGCAGUGAGGGAGGGGCGGGGCUUUGACGUGCAGGAGGCACCGUGCCGGUCACCCUAGCCCCCUGCAGCUCCCCAGACAGGACUCUCACCGGGACCCUCCCAGGGCCCUGAGGCUGCAGGAUGAUAACGUGUUCGACGGGACCCAGCACCACGCUGCAGAAUCACAUUUCUGUUCCAUUUCUAAGAAUAACUUUGGAAGGAGAUGUACUAUUUUGGUUAUAGAUUUUUAACCGUGGAGAAAGAAUGAAAACAACUUGGAGGCUUUGACGGAGUCUGGGCUCCCAGCAUGCCCUGCGAGGUGCCCAGUCACGCGGCUCUGAGACCCAGGAAUGAGCCUGCUGCAGGAUCAGAUGACGGCGGCCUGAGUCCGGGGGUGACGGAGGCUGAGAUGUCCCUGGGCUGGUCCCCUGAUGCUGACACGCGAGAAGAGGGCCCCGAGCACGCGAGCAGCCCUGGCAUGGAAAGGCUCUCUGUGUUGCCUGCUUACUCCACGGAAGCCGCGGGCCUGCCCGGGGGCCGGGCCGCUGGCAGUGCUUCCGCAGCCCUCCUGGGGUGGAGCGGGGUUAGCUCCGUCUCAGCCCCAGGCCGCAGGAUUCCUCCUCGAUGCUGACCGAGGCAAACGGGAGGACAGAAAUAACCCAUUGACUGUUUAAAAUGACGCUGGCCAACACUAAUAAACCAUGGCCACCCUGGCCCAAGGUCAGGGUCUUCAUUUGCUGGAGGCCGUUCAAGAAUUCGGAACUCAGAGCUCUGAGCUAAUUUUUCACAUCUCGCUUGGAUCCUCGGAGCGCUCGCUCCCAAGGCAGGGCCCUCGAUGUCUCACUGCACAUGUUAUUCUUGUUGGCGUGCCAGGCCUGCCGGAGCGCGAGGGCCUCGCUUCAUGGGUGGGUGACGGUGAUUCCCCCGCCCCAGUUCAGAUUUCAAAGCACCGCGGCCUGUUGAGAUUCGGGAUAAUUCUCUGUUAUGCUGUGUUAGCUGUGUUAAUGGCUGUAAACAACAAGAACAUGCUGGUUCAUUUAGGCACGAAGGGGAGUUGUUGGGAGGAUACGGGCUAGUUCUGAGCAUAGACAGGCGGCUAGGGAACCACCUUGGGCGGGAAACGGGAGUCCGGCUGCACCCCUGGGCUCUCACCUCCUCUGCAGCUACUGACAUGGUCCCAGGGCACCUGUCUCUGCGCAGCCCUCAAAGUUCACAGCCCCAGGCGGGAGUGUGCGUCACCCUGGUAAGGCCAUGGGACCACCCUCAGACCACACGAUUGUACUGAUUCGUGACCCACACCCUAGUGACCUAGAGGGGGGGAGGGAGGGGUCGCGCGCUUGCUGCCUCUUCCACCUCGUCUUGGGAGUCCCGGGACAGGGAGGGAUCGGGGUACCGGGCAGCCAGAAACAGCCACGGCCGCGCCAGCCUCCCCUCUGCAAUCACACCUUCCACCUGCUGAUCGCCCGUCGGCCGCCCACGUGGACUUCUUUUGUCCAAAGCACAGACCACGUGGUAACCACCAAGCUCACGUGCGCUUUGUCAGCCUCAGCCUGGUCUCCUGGGCUGCCGCCUCCCUGCAUCCCCUCACCCCUCAAACACCCACAGUCCUACUUCUGUUGUCUUCCAGCUACGGCCCGUCAGACCACUGCCCACGUGUGCAUCUGCACCUGCCUUCACUGCCGCUCCCCGCCCCAUGCCCGUCCUGUGGGUCACCAGGCUGGCCCUGCGCCCGUCUCCCGUCCUGUGGGUCACCAGGCCGGCCCAGGGCCCGUCUCCUGUCCCAUGGGUCACUGGGCCUGCCCAGGGCCUGUCUCCCUUCCUGUGGGUCACCAGGCCAGCCCAGGGCCCGUCUCCCGUCCUGUGGGUCACCAGGCCGGCCCUGCGCCCGUCUCCCGUCCUGUGGGUCACCAG